rnacentral:rRNA from 1 species
AGGGUUUGAUUCUGGCUCAGGAUGAACGCUAGCUACAGGCUUAACACAUGCAAGUCGAGGGGCAGCAUGGACCCAGCUUUGCUGGGUUUGAUGGCGACCGGCGCACGGGUGAGUAACGCGUAUCCAACCUGCCCUUUACUCCGGGAUAGUCUCCUGAAAGGGAGUUUAAUACCGGAUGUGUUUGUCUUUCCGCAUGGGAGCGACAAAUAAAGAUUGAUGGUAAAGGAUGGGGAUGCGUCCCAUUAGCUUGUUGGCGGGGUAACGGCCCACCAAGGCGACGAUGGGUAGGGGUUCUGAGAGGAAGGUCCCCCACAUUGGAACUGAGACACGGUCCAA